rnacentral:rRNA from 1 species
UACGUAGGGGGCAAGCGUUGUCCGGAUUUAUUGGGCGUAAAGAGCGUGUAGGCGGCUUGGUAGGUCAGCUGUGAAAACUCGAGGCUCAACCUCGAGACGUCGGUUGAAACCACCUGGCUAGAGUCCGGAAGAGGAGAGUGGAAUUCCCGGUGUAGCGGUGAAAUGCGCAGAUAUCGGGAAGAACACCCGUGGCGAAGGCGGCUCGCUGGGACGGUACUGACGCUGAGACGCGAAAGCGUGGGGAGCGAACAGG